rnacentral:rRNA from 1 species
AUGAUCAAAAGCAUCUUUUAUUGGCCUGGUAUGAAAACAGCUAUAGAAAAUUUCAUUGCAGCCUGCCCUGUUUAUCAGAGAGCAAAGCAUGAAACUUGCUUGCAACCUGGUCUGCUUGAACCUCUUCCAGUGGCUGACAUGGCCUGGCAGCAUAUAUCCAUGGACUUCAUUGAAGGACUACCUAAAUCUCAAGGAAAGGAUGUGAUCAUGGUGGUUGUGGACAGGUUUACUAAAUACUCCCACUUCAUACCCCUGUCCCACCCUUACUCAGUGCUCAGUGUAGCCCAAUCCUUUGUGGAUAACAUUAUUAAGUUGCGUGGUCCCCCAAAACUAAUUAUCUCUGACAGAGACAGAAUUUUCACCAGUCAGCUUUGGAAAAAUAUCUUCUCUGCACUCAAUGUGGAACUAAGGUUCAGUACUGCUUAUCAUCCACAAACAGAUGGCCAGACAGAACAUGUAAAUCAGUGUUUGGAGACCUAUUUAAGAUGCAUGACUACAUCUGCUCCAACCAAGUGGCUUUCUUGA